rnacentral:lncRNA from 1 species
CUUUUUGAUCUAGCCUAAGGUACCACGUAUACUUCAAGUUUAUCUCAACUAUGGAUCUCUCAGACCCAAUGGUACUUAUUAUUUGCUCAAAUAAGUUCAUAGAUGCAUCAUCAUUCAAAUGAUAGAGAUUAUCUCUAAGAACUAAAUCCAAAUGGUAGUCACGAAGGUUAGGUGCCCAUGGCCAUAGCAGCAACUCUUG